rnacentral:lncRNA from 1 species
UCCCUAAAAAUAUCUUAUUACAAACUUUCUCAUGCAAGCACUAAAUAUACUGCCAACAACACAAUUUUUGUAUAGUUUAUAAGUUUGGUGAUGAAAUUGGAAUGAAAAAGGUUGGGUAACAUUGAAAUGAUUAUUUACAUUUUCUUCGAUAAUACACAAUGAAAGGUCACUUAUAUCAUAGCUAUUGUAUUUGACAUAGUUUUUCCAAACUCAUGAACAAACGCUGAAACAAUUGUGUUGUUAGAAUAGUCAAAUAUGCCUUCUCUGCAAAUAUCAACCAACUGAAAAGUCCAUUGCAUUGAAGGAAGAUGACAAGGGUACAUAUAUGUCCAUAUCCAGCCCAAGAAUCAAUCAUACAGUAAUUUCACUACGUAAGAGCCACAAACAACACAUUUUUUUUGUGCACAAUCAUCUAAAUAUCCUUGCCUCAUUGAGUAUUCCGCUUGUGGAGAGCAAAUAAAUAGUGUUAUAAUUAAAAUAUUCUCCGGUAAAGUGAAUUGUAUGGUGCGUAACUGUUAUUGUUAUUGUUAUUAUAAGCGAUAUGAGGAAGCCGUCCUGAAUUAUCAGAAUGCCUGUGGAAUCUAGCAUGUCUUCCCUGCCUAUUCUUCCUUCGUGGAUGCGAAGAACGAGGAAUAAAAACUCCAGUCCCAGUUGGGUAACAUUGAAAUGAUCAUUUACAUUUUCUUCGAUAAUACACAAUGAAAGGUCACUUAUAUCAUAGCAUUUGUAUUUGACAUAGUUUUUCCAAACUCAUGAACAAACGCUGAAACAAUUGUGUUGUUAGAAUAGUCAAAUAUGCCUUCUCUGCAAAUAUCAACCAACUGAAAAGUCCAUUGCAUUGAAGGAAGAUGACAAGGGUACAUAUAUGUCCAUAUCCAGCCUAAGAAUCAAUCAUACAGUAAUUUCACUACGUAAGAGCCACAAACAACACAUUUUUUUUGUGCACAAUCAUCUAAAUAUCCUUGCCUCAUUGAGUAUUCCGCUUGAGGAGAGCAAAUAAAUAGUGUUAUAAUUUAAAUAUUCUCGGGUAAAGUGAAUUGUAUGAUGCGUAACUGUUAUUGUUAUUGUUAUUAUAAGCGAUAUGAGGAAGCCGUCCUGAAUUAUCAGAAUGCCUGUGGAAUCUAGCAUGUCUUCCCUGCCUAUUCUUCCUUCGUGGAUGCGAAGAACGAGGAAUAAAAACUCCAGUCCCUUUGCUUUCUGUUGUGCUUGUCUGCUGAUGAAGAGUUUGCAUUUGUAUGGCUGGAUGGAUUGCCUAAAAAUACUCGAAAACGGAGAAAAGUUCGGUUUAGCAAACUCUUCAACUUGACCGCAGGGCAUAAGAUAAUAUAGGAGUGAAUGAUUAAACUUAGCCCAUGCUUUUAUGCAGUGGUGGGACUCAAACCAGUGAGUACCAUACUGUAUUUAUAGCAACUAAUGGAAACUCAAAACACUACAAGACAUUACUUAGCCCCUAUUUGAUUUUGCGAAAAAUCAUAUUUUAAUUGAAGUUCGUGAUGAAAUGUGUGGUUGAAAAGGUUAUAAAAAUUGAGGGUCCUAGUUAUAGUUGACUGUUAAGUGUAAUAUUAAUUAAAACCUAAUGUAGACGCCAUUUCGAAGAACUUUUAUUCAAAAUUUCUCUUAUAAGUUCCCUUUAUGUGUCUACAUUUCACUAAAAAUUUGAAAAAAACAAAAAAACAAAAAAAAAAAA